GGUGAGUAACGCGUAGGUAACCUGCCUUGUAGCGGGGGAUAACUAUUGGAAACGAUAGCUAAUACCGCAUAACAAUGGAUGACUCAUGACAUUUAUUUGAAAGGGGCAAAUGUUCCACUACAAGAUGGACCUGCGUUGUAUUAGCUAGUAGGUGAGGUAACGGCUCACCUAGGCGACGAUACAUAGCCGACCUGAGAGGGUGAUCGGCCACACUGCGACUGAGACACGGCCCAGUCUCCUACGGGAGGCAGCAGUAGGGAAUCUUCGGCAAUGGGGGCAACCCUGACCGAGCAACGCCGCCUGAGUGAAGAAGGUUUUCGAAUCGUAAAGCUCUGUUGUAAGUCAAGAACGAGUGUGAGAGUGGAAAGUUCACACUGUGACGGUGGCUUACGAGAAAGGGACGGCUAACUACGUGCCAGCAGCCGCGGUAAUACGUAGGUCCCGAGCGUUGUCCGGAUUUAUUGGGCGUAAAGCGAGCGCAGGCGGUUUGAUAAGUCUGAAGUUAAAGGCUGUGGCUCAACCAUAGUUCGCUUUGGAAACUGUCAAACUUGAGUGCAGAAGGGGAGAGUGGAAUUCCAUGUGUAGCGGUGAAAUGCGUAGAUAUAUGGAGGAACACCGGUGGCGAANGCGGCUCUCUGGUCUGUAACUGACGCUGANGCUCGAAAGCGUGGGGAGCGAACAGGAUUAGAUACCCUGGUAGUCCACGCC
rnacentral:rRNA from 1 species